GCCCUGCUCUCGCAAAGGCUGUAAAAACCAUGAAGAUAGGUGAAAAGGCACUCCUCACAGUGAAGCCACAAUAUGGGUUUGGGGAGAAAGGUAAAUCAGCCUCUAGUAAUGAAGGUGCAGUUCCACCAAAUGCAUCCCUCGAUAUUACUUUGGAGUUGGUAUCUUGGAAGACUGUUUCAGAAGUUACCCCUGACAAAAAGGUUAUCAAGAAAAUUCUGA
rnacentral:misc_RNA from 1 species